AGAGUUUGAUCCUGGCUCAGGAUGAACGCUGGCGGCGUGCUUAACACAUGCAAGUCGAACGAAGCACCUUGAUUUGAUUCUUCGGAUGAAGAUCUUGGUGACUGAGUGGCGGACGGGUGAGUAACGCGUGGGUAACCUGCCUCAUACAGGGGGAUAACAGUUAGAAAUGACUGCUAAUACCGCAUAAGACCACAGCACCGCAUGGUGCAGGGGUAAAAACUCCGGUGGUAUGAGAUGGACCCGCGUCUGAUUAGAUAGUUGGUGGGGUAACGGCCUACCAAGCCGACGAUCAGUAGCCGACCUGAGAGGGUGACCGGCCACAUUGGGGCUGAGACACGGCCCAAACUCCUACGGGAGGCAGCAGUGGGGAAUAUUGCACAAUGGGGGAAACCCUGAUGCAGCGACGCCGCGUGAGCGAUGAAGUAUUUCGGUAUGUAAAGCUCUAUCAGCAGGGAAGAAAAUGACGGUACCUGACUAAGAAGCACCGGCUAAAUACGUGCCAGCAGCCGCGGUAAUACGUAUGGUGCAAGCGUUAUCCGGAUUUACUGGGUGUAAAGGGAGCGUAGACGGAGUGGCAAGUCUGAUGUGAAAACCCGGGGCCCAACCCCGGGACUGUAUUGGAAACUGUCAAUCUAGAGUACCGGAGAGGUAAGCGGAAUUCCUAGUGUAGCGGUGAAAUGCGUAGAUAUUAGGAGGAACACCAGUGGCGAAGGCGGCUUACUGGACGGUAACUGACGUUGAGGCUCGAAAGCGUGGGGAGCAAACAGGAUUAGAUACCCUGGUAGUCCACGCCGUAAACGAUGACUACUAGGUGUCGGGCAGCAAAGCUGUUCGGUGCCGCAGCAAACGCAAUAAGUAUUCCACCUGGGGAGUACGAUCGCAAGAUUGAAACUCAAAGGAAUUGACGGGGGCCCGCACAAGCAGUGGAUUAUGUGGUUUAAUUCGACGCAACGCGAAGAACCUUACCGGGAUUUGACAUGGGGAUGACCGGGUUAGAGAUAACCCUUUCCUUCGGGACAUCCCACACAGGUGGUGCAUGGUUGUCGUCAGCUCGUGUCGUGAGAUGUUGGGUUAAGUCACGCAACGAGCGCAACCCCUAUUGUAAGUUGCUACGAAAGAGCACUCUUGCAAGACUGCCGUUGACAAAACGGAGGAAGGCGGGGACGACGUCAAAUCAUCAUGCCCCUUACGUCCCGGGCUACACACGUAAUACAAUGGCGUUUAACAAAGGGAAGCAAAGCCGCGAGGUGGAGCAAAUCCCCAAAAGGCGUCUCAGUUCGGAUUGCAGGCUGCAACUCGCCUGCAUGAAGCUGGAAUUGCUAGUAAUCGUGGAUCAGCAUGCCACGGUGAAUACGUUCCCGGGCCUUGUACACACCGCCCGUCACACCAUGAGAGUCGGGAACGCCCGAAGUCCGUAGUCUAACCGCAAGGGGGGCGCGGCCGAAGGUGGGUCUGAUAAUUGGGGUGAAGUCGUAACAAGGUA
rnacentral:rRNA from 1 species